rnacentral:sRNA from 1 species
CGAAAGCCUGACGGAGCAAUACCGCGUGAGGGAGGAAGGCUCUUGGGUUGUAAACCUCUUUUCUCAGGGAAGAAAUCUGACGGUACCUGAGGAAUCAGCAUCGGCUAACUCCGUGCCAGCAGCCGCGGUAAUACGGAGGAUGCAAGCGUUAUCCGGAAUGAUUGGGCGUAAAGCGUCCGCAGGUGGCAGUUCAAGUCUGCUGUCAAAGACCGGGGCUCAACCCUGGAAAGGCAGUGGAAACUGAACAGCUAGAGUGCGGUAGGGGCAGAGGGAAUUCCCAGUGUAGCGGUGAAAUGCGUAGAGAUUGGGAAGAACACCGGUGGCGAAAGCGCUCUGCUAGACCGCAACUGACACUCAGGGACGAAAGCUAGGGGAGCGAAUGGGAUUAGAUACCCCAGUAGUCCUAGCCGUAAACGUUGGAUACUAGGCGUUGCUCGUAUCGACCCGAGCAGUGUCGUAGCUAACGCGUUAAGUAUCCCGCCUGGGGAGUACGCCGGCAACGGUGAAACUCAAAGGAAUUGACGGGGGCCCGCACAAGCGGUGGAGUAUGUGGUUUAAUUCGAUGCAACGCGAAGAACCUUACCAAGACUUGACAUGUCGCGAACCCCACUGAAAGGUGGGGGUGCCUUCGGGAGCGCGAACACAGGUGGUGCAUGGCUGUCGUCAGCUCGUGUCGUGAGAUGUUGGGUUAAGUCCCGCAACGAGCGCAACCCUCGUUUUUAGUUGCCAGCGGGUAAAGCCGGGCACUCUAGAGAGACUGCCGGUGACAAACCGGAGGAAGGUGGGGAUGACGUCAAGUCAGCAUGCCCCUUACGUCUUGGGCAACACACGUACUACAAUGCUACGGACAAAGGGCAGCAAGUUAGCAAUGACAAGCAAAUCCCACAAACCGUGGCUCAGUUCAGAUUGGAGGCUGCAACUCGCCUCCAUGAAGUCGGAAUCGCUAGUAAUUGCAGGUCAGCAUACUGCAGUGAAUUCGUUCCCGGGCCUUGUACACACCGCCCGUCACACCAUGGAAGCUGGCCACGCCCGAAGUCGUUACCCUAACCGCAAGGAGGGGGACGCCGAAGGCAGGGCUGGUGACUGGGGUGAAGUCGUAACAAGGUAGCCGUACCGGAAGGUGUGGCUGGAUCACCUCCUUUACAGGGAGACCUACCCCAUCGGCACCGAAAGCUAAGUAGCUGGGUAACGAUGAGGUCACCCCUAAGGUCGGUCGAGGUAAUAGUGUGGCUUUUCAACUAUAAUCGGUUCGGUUUCAUAGUCGGGGCUAUUAGCUCAGGUGGUUAGAGCGCACCCCUGAUAAGGGUGAGGUCCCUGGUUCGAGUCCAGGAUGGCCCACCUAAAAUAGGGGGGGGUAUAGCUCAGCUGGUAGAGCGCUGCCUUUGCAAGGCAGAAGCCAGCGGUUCGAGUCCGCUUACCUCCACAUGAUAGACUAGAAAAGUUGGGCAGAAUGUUGACAGCAACAUGACUGGAAACACCCCAGUCAGACUGCUGGCAGCAAUUGCCAGCCAGAACCUUGAAAACUGCAUAAGUAACGCGUUAAAGCAAGUAGAUACAGCCGUAGUAAGCGCGAAAGCUGUAACGCUUGCUGUGUAUAAACCAAUGUGGUCAAGCUAAUCAGGGCUGACGGUGGAUACCUAGGCACACAGAGGCGAAGAAGGACGUGGCGACCGACGAAAAGCUCCGGGGAGCUGGAAGCAAGCAUCGAGCCGGAGAUCUCCGAAUGGGGCAACCCUAAAUACUACCUGCUGAAUAUAUAGGCAGGCUUGAGCCAACCCAGCGAACUGAAACAUCUUAGUAGCUGGAGGAACAAAAAGAAAAAUCGAUUCCCUAAGUAGUGGUGAGCGAACAGGGAACAGCCUAAACCAGCUGUUACGACAGUUGGGGUAGUGGGACAGCAACAAUAGAUAGUCUAGUCUAAACGAAGCAGUUGGCAUACUGCACCAGAGAAGGUGAAAGUCCUGUAAUUGAAAGGCGAAACUGCUAUAGCUGAAUCCCGAGUAGCACGGGGCACGAGGAGUCCCGUGUGAAUCAGCGAGGACCAUCUCGUAAGGCUAAAUACUACUGUGUGACCGAUAGUGAACCAGUACCGCGAGGGAAAGGUGAAAAGAACCCCGCAAGGGGAGUGAAAUAGAACAUGAAACCGUCAGCUGUCAAGCAGUGGAAGGACGAUUCAACGUCUGACCGCGUGCCUGUUGAAGAAUGAGCCGGCGACUUAUAAGCAGGGCAGGUGAAGGCGAGAAUGCCACAACCAAAGCGAAAGCGAGUCUGAAUCGGGCGUUAAAGUCACUGUUUAUAGACCCGAACCCGGGUGAUCUAACCAUGUCCAGGAUGAAGCUUGGGUAACACCAAGUGGAGGUCCGAACCGACCGAUGUUGAAAAAUCGGCGGAUGAGGUGUGGUUAGGGGUGAAAUACCAAUCGAACCCGGAGCUAGCUGGUUCUCCCCGAAAUGUGUUGAGGCGCAGCGGUUGUGAAUAUAGCCUGGGGGUAAAGCACUGUUUCGGUGCGGGCUGCCUUAGGCGGUACCAAAUCGAGACAAACUCAGAAUACCAGGUGCACACACAACCAGUGAGACGGUGGGGGAUAAGCUCCAUCGUCAAGAGGGAAACAGCCCAGACCACCAGCUAAGGCCCCCAAAUUGUCACUGAGUGAUCAAGGAGGUGGGAGUGCAUAGACAACCAGGAGGUUUGCCUAGAGGCAGCAAUCCUUGAAAGAGUGCGUAAUAGCUCACUGGUCAAGCGCUGCCGCGCCGAAAAUGAACGGGGCUAAGUGACAUGCCGAAGCUGUGGGAUAUGAAAAUAUCGGUAGGGGAGCGUUCCGCGAUAGGAUGAAGCACUAGCGGCAAGCAGGUGUGGACGAAGCGGAAGUGAGAAUGUCGGCUUGAGUAGCGAAAACAUUGGUGAGAAUCCAAUGCCCCGAAACCCCAAGGGUUCCGACGCCAGGUUCGUCCACGUCGGGUUAGUCAGGACCUAAGGCGAGGCCAAACGGCGUAGUCGAUGGACAACGGGUUAACAAUCCCGUACUGAAACUGAUUUGUGCAGAGGGACGGAGAAGGCAAAAAUCAGCCGGAUGUUGGUUACCGGUUCAACUGUUCGAGGUGAUGAGCAGCGGCGAAAACGCUGUGAGCUGAGGCAGGAGUACGAGCGACCACGGUCGCGAAGUGAUGGAGUCCAGCUUCCAAGAAAAGCUCGGUGGCACGUUAAAUCAGAUUUACCUGUACCCGAAACCGACACAGGUGGGGAGGUAGAGAAUACUCAGGGGCGCGAGAUAACUCUCUCUAAGGAACUCGGCAAAAUGGCCCCGUAACUUCGGGAGAAGGGGUGCCCACCACAAGUGGGCCGCAGUGAAGAGAUCCAGGCGACUGUUUACCAAAAACACAGGUCUCCGCGAAGUCAAAUGACGAGGUAUGGGGGCUGACGCCUGCCCAGUGCCGGAAGGUUAAGGAAGUCGGUCAGGGGGAAACCCUAAAGCUGGCGACUGAAGCCCCGGUGAACGGCGGCCGUAACUAUAACGGUCCUAAGGUAGCGAAAUUCCUUGUCGGGUAAGUUCCGACCCGCACGAAAGGCGUAACGAUCUGGAUGGUGUCUCAGAGAGAGACUCGGCGAGAUAGGAAUGUCUGUGAAGAUACGGACUACCUGCACCAGGACAGAAAGACCCUAUGAAGCUUUACUGUAGCCUGGAAUUGAGUCCGGGCUUGGCUUGCGCAGCAUAGGUGGGAGGCGUUGAGACUGUGCUUGUGGGCACAGUGGAGCCAACGGUGAGAUACCACUCUGGCGAAGCUAGGAUUCUAACCGCGCUCCUUUAUCAGGUGCGGGGACAGUUUCAGGUGGGCAGUUUGACUGGGGCGGUCGCCUCCUAAAAGGUAACGGAGGCGCGCAAAGGUUCCCUCAGCACGGUUGGAAAUCGUGCGGCGAGUGUAAAGGCAAUAAGGGAGCUUGACUGCCAGAGCUACAACUCAAGCAGGGACGAAAGUCGGCCUUAGUGAUCCGACGGCACUGCAUGGAAGGGCCGUCGCUCAACGGAUAAAAGUUACUCUAGGGAUAACAGGCUGAUCUCCCCCAAGAGUCCACAUCGACGGGGAGGUUUGG